rnacentral:rRNA from 1 species
GAUGAACGCUGGCGGCGUGCCUAAUACAUGCAAGUCGAGCGAACAGACGAGGAGCUUGCUCCUCUGACGUUAGCGGCGGACGGGUGAGUAACACGUGGAUAACCUACCUAUAAGACUGGGAUAACUUCGGGAAACCGGAGCUAAUACCGGAUAAUAUAUUGAACCGCAUGGUUCAAUAGUGAAAGACGGUUUUGCUGUCACUUAUAGAUGGAUCCGCGCCGCAUUAGCUAGUUGGUAAGGUAACGGCUUACCAAGGCAACGAUGCGUAGCCGACCUGAGAGGGUGAUCGGCCAAACUGGAACUGAGACACGGUCCAGACUCGUACGGGAGGCAGCAGUAGGGAAUCUUCCGCAAUGGGCGAAAGCCUGACGGAGCAACGCCGCGUGAGUGAUGAAGGUCUUCGGAUCGUAAAACUCUGUUAUUAGGGAAGAACAAAUGUGUAAGUAACUAUGCACGUCUUGACGGUACCUAAUCAGAAAGCCACGGCUAACUAC